rnacentral:rRNA from 1 species
UACGAAGGAUCCAAGCGUUAUCCGGAUUCACUGGGUUUAAAGGGUGCGUAGGCGGGCAGGUAAGUCCGUGGUGAAAUCUCUGAGCUUAACUCAGAAACUGCCAUGGAUACUAUUUGUCUUGAAUAUUGUGGAGGUAAGCGGAAUAUGUCAUGUAGCGGUGAAAUGCUUAGAUAUGACAUAGAACACCAAUUGCGAAGGCAGCUUACUACACAGUUAUUGACGCUGAGGCACGAAAGCGUGGGGAUCAAACAGG